GAUGAACGCUAGCGGCAGGCUUAACACAUGCAAGUCGAGGGGUAUAGUAGCAAUACUAGAGACCGGCGCACGGGUGCGUAACGCGUAUGCAAUCUACCUUAUACAGAGGGAUAGCCCAGAGAAAUUUGGAUUAAUACCUCAUAGUGUUAUUUAGUGGCAUCACUUAAUAACUAAAGUUCCAACGGUAUAAGAUGAGCAUGCGUCCUAUUAGCUAGAUGGUAAGGUAACGGCUUACCAUGGCUACGAUAGGUAGGGGUCCUGAGAGGGAGAUCCCCCACACUGGUACUGAGACACGGACCAGACUCCUACGGGAGGCAGCAGUGAGGAAUAUUGGACAAUGGGCGCAAGCCUGAUCCAGCCAUGCCGCGUGCAGGAAGAAGCAUCUAUGGUGUGUAAACUGCUUUUGUACGGGAAGAAACACUCCUACGUGUAGGAGCUUGACGGUACCGUAAGAAUAAGGAUCGGCUAACUCCGUGCCAGCCGCCGCCGUAACAC
rnacentral:rRNA from 1 species